AUUGAACGCUGGCGGCAGGCCUAACACAUGCAAGUCGAGCGGAUGAUGGGAGCUUGCUCCUGGAUUCAGCGGCGGACGGGUGAGUAAUGCCUAGGAAUCUGCCUGGUAGUGGGGGACAACGUUUCGAAAGGAACGCUAAUACCGCAUACGUCCUACGGGAGAAAGCAGGGGACCUUCGGGCCUUGCGCUAUCAGAUGAGCCUAGGUCGGAUUAGCUAGUAGGUGAGGUAAAGGCUCACCUAGGCGACGAUCCGUAACUGGUCUGAGAGGAUGAUCAGUCACACUGGAACUGAGACACGGUCCAGACUCCUACGGGAGGCAGCAGUGGGGAAUAUUGGACAAUGGGCGAAAGCCUGAUCCAGCCAUGCCGCGUGUGUGAAGAAGGUCUUCGGAUUGUAAAGCACUUUAAGUUGGGAGGAAGGGCAGUAAGUUAAUACCUUGCUGUUUUGACGUUACCGACAGAAUAAGCACCGGCUAACUUCGUGCCAGCCGCCGCGGUAACAC
rnacentral:rRNA from 1 species